AGAAAUUUAGGCUGCCCCAAACCAAUAGCCUUCAAAGCUAUAAACAUGAGUAAUAAACCUCAUAAUUUCUG
rnacentral:tRNA from 1 species